rnacentral:rRNA from 1 species
CACGUAGGGUGCGAGCGUUGUCCGGAAUUAUUGGGCGUAAAGAGCUCGUAGGCGGUGUGUCGCGUCGGCCGUGAAAACCUGCAGCUUAACUGUGGGCUUGCGGUCGAUACGGGCAUCACUGGAGUUCGGCAGGGGAGACUGGAAUUCCUGGUGUAGCGGUGAAAUGCGUAGAUAUCGAGAGGAACACCUGCGGCGAAGGCGGGUUGCUGGGCUGACACUGACGCUGAGGCGCGAAAGCUAGGGGAGCGAACGGG